rnacentral:rRNA from 1 species
AUUGAACGCUGGCGGAAUGCUUUACACAUGCAAGUCGAACGGCAGCGCGGACUUCGGUCUGGUGGCGAGUGGCGAACGGGUGAGUAAUGUAUCGGAACGUGCCCAGUCGUGGGGGAUAACGUAGUGAAAAUUACGCUAAUACCGCAUACGAUCUAUGGAUGAAAGCGGGGGAUCGCAAGACCUAGCGCGAUUGGAGCGGCCGAUAUCAGAUUAGGUAGUUGGUGGGGUAAAGGCCCACCAAGCCAACGAUCUGUAGCUGGUCUGAGAGGACGACCAGCCACACUGGAACUGAGACACGGUCCAGACUCCUACGGGAGGCAGCAGUGGGGAAUUUUGGACAACGGGCGAAAGCCUGAUCCAGCCAUUCCGCGUGCAGGAUGAAGGCCCUCGGGUUGUAAACUGCUUUUGUACAGAACGAAAAGGUUUCUACUAAUACUAGGAGCUCAUGACGGUACUGUAAGAAUAAGCACCGGCUAACUACGUGCCAGCCGCCGCGGUAA